AGAGUUUGAUCCUGGCUCAGGACGAACGCUGGCGGCGCGCCUAACACAUGCAAGUCGAACGAGAGAGAGGGAGCUUGCUUCCUCGAUCGAGUGGCGAACGGGUGAGUAACGCGUGAGGAACCUGCCUCAAAGAGGGGGACAACAGUUGGAAACGACUGCUAAUACCGCAUAAGCCCACGGCUCGGCAUCGAGCAGAGGGAAAAGGAGCAAUCCGCUUUGAGAUAGCCUCGCGUCCGAUUAGCUAGUUGGUGAGGUAAUGGCCCACCAAGGCGACGAUCGGUAGCCGGACUGAGAGGAUGAACGGCCACAUUGGAACUGAGACACGGUCCAGACUCCUACGGGAGGCAGCAGUGGGGAAUCUUCCGCAAUGGGCGCAAGCCUGACGGAGCAACGCCGCGUGAGUGAAGAAGGGUUUCGACUCGUAAAGCUCUGUUGUCGGGGACGAACGUGGAGACGGCGAAUAGCCGUUUCCAAUGACGGUACCUGACGAGGAAGCCACGGCUAACUACGUGCCAGCAGCCGCGGUAAUACGUAGGUGGCGAGCGUUGUCCGGAAUUAUUGGGCGUAAAGGGAGCGCAGGCGGGAAGGUAAGUCUAUCUUAAAAGUGCGGGGCUCAACCCCGUGAGGGGAUGGAAACUAUCUUUCUUGAGUGCAGGAGAGGAAAGCGGAAUUCCUAGUGUAGCGGUGAAAUGCGUAGAUAUUAGGAGGAACACCAGUGGCGAAGGCGGCUUUCUGGACUGUAACUGACGCUGAGGCUCGAAAGCGUGGGGAGCGAACAGGAUUAGAUACCCUGGUAGUCCACGCCGUAAACGAUGAAUGCUAGGUGUAGGAGGUAUCGACCCCUUCUGUGCCGGAGUUAACGCAAUAAGCAUUCCGCCUGGGGAGUACGGCCGCAAGGCUGAAACUCAAAGGAAUUGACGGGGGCCCGCACAAGCGGUGGAGUAUGUGGUUUAAUUCGACGCAACGCGAAGAACCUUACCAGGGCUUGACAUUGAGUGAAAGGACAAGAGAUUGUCCCCUCUCUUCGGAGACACGAAAACAGGUGGUGCAUGGCUGUCGUCAGCUCGUGUCGUGAGAUGUUGGGUUAAGUCCCGCAACGAGCGCAACCCCUAUUCUUUGUUGCCAGCACGUUAUGGUGGGAACUCAAAGGAGACUGCCGCGGACAACGCGGAGGAAGGCGGGGAUGACGUCAAGUCAUCAUGCCCCUUAUGUCCUGGGCUACACACGUACUACAAUGGGAUGGACAGAGAGUAGCGAAGCCGCGAGGCCAAGCGAACCCCAUAAACCAUCUCCCAGUUCGGAUUGCAGGCUGCAACCCGCCUGCAUGAAGUUGGAAUCGCUAGUAAUCGCAGGUCAGCAUACUGCGGUGAAUACGUUCCCGGGCCUUGUACACACCGCCCGUCACACCACGGAAGUCAUUCACACCCGAAGCCGGCAGGCUAACCUUUAUGGAGGCAGCCGUCUAAGGUGGGGGCGAUGACUGGGGUGAAGUCGUAACAAGGUA
rnacentral:rRNA from 1 species